UAUAAAUUUUCACAUUCGAUUUAUACAUUUAUUCAACUCUGUAUGAGUUUAAAUACUGGCUGGAAUGAGGCAGAACCUUCGUGGUGUGUCCUGGGUCAUUAUUACACUGACAUUCACACCACAAAUAAACACACAAUGCCGAUUCCGCAUUAAUGAUCAAGUGAUGGAGAAAGGAACUGUUAAGCAGGAUAAGCAAUCUAUUUACAGGAGUCUGCAGUUGCGUGUAAGUGUGUUUAUUUCAUUGUUUUACUUUGUUGAAGAGUGGUAUUCAUUGCUAGACUUGUGCUGUUUGUUUACUGUCUUGAACUCGCAUCGCUUAUACGAAGGUUGGUGUGUGUGUGUGUGUGUGUGCUAUAUUGUUUUUGACUUGUCCCAGGUUAUUCACUGCUAGAUUUAGCGUUGAUUGGCCAGUGUGUGUGUAAAACUAUCAUGGUUUUUAGUGUUUAUAAAUAGUGCUUCGCUUGUUUUAGGGUAUUAUUUAUUGCUAAAGUGCAGCAUAAUUUAUUUGCGGUGCACGGAAGUCGCACUUGUCACCUCGCGCGACCCUUAGUUUCUGUUGACCACGUGACUAGCUUUGUUGUGCUAAGUAGCUUUAAGGCGUGUCCUGCCUUUUUCAUUGAACAGCUCGUUAUCAUCACGUAUAUAUUUAACUUGAAUGCUGACGCGGAAGUGGCAGCGGAAGUGGUAGCCCUCGUGUAAAGCCCUCCUCGUGAAGACCUACUUGUGUAAAGACCAGCGAGUCUACCUGUGCGAGUCCACCGAGCAAGGACACCGACAAGGCGCCACUCAACAUAGCACCUAAGUAUCUUGUUAUUGUAUCUCUUAUUAUUUUCCUUCUACAUACUAACAUGUCUACUUCACGUAUAACACAUGCCUUCAAGCACAUCCCUGUUAUCUGUUACAGACCGUUUACACGAUAUCGAUGCAAGACCAAACGCAACCCACACAACCUACGGCCACUUUGCACUUCAGCACCUGCUCCUUUCUCUUUCUCAGUGGGACUCUGGAACUGCCAAUCAGCUGUGAAAAAAGCUGACUUCAUUCCAGCCUUUGCCACGCAGUCCACCCUCAGCAUCCUGGCACUGACAGAAACAUGGAUACAUCCAGAGGAUACAGCAACACCUGCUGCUCUCUCCAACAACUUCUCCUUCUCUCACACCCCUCGACACACCGGUAGGGGUGGGGAAACAGGUCAGCUGACAAACUUUCUUGAGGAGUUGGAUGUCCUGCUGUCCUCCUUGCCGGAGGAUGCUAGGCCACUUGUGGUUCUUGGUGAUUUCAACAUACACCAAGACAAGCCCCAGGCCACUGAAUUGAAUACUCUCCUGGCCUCAUUUGAGUUGGAAAAACUACACACCACAGCAACUCACAGAUCGGGCAACCAGCUGGACCUCAUCUUUACACGCCAGCACGUGCUACACCACCCAGCCCUUGGCUGUCUGACGUCCUUCGUGAACAUCGGACUGUCCUCAGGGCAGCUGAGAGGAGGUGGCGGAAAUCUAAAGAUCCAGCAGAUCUAGAACAAGCUGCUGGAUGACAAUCAGUCAGGCUUUAAAAGUGGAAACUCCACCGAGACCGCCCUGCUGUCUGUCACCGAGUUACUGAGACGGGCGAAAGCUGAAUCAAGAUCAUCAGUCCUGAUUCUGCUGGACCUUUCUGCAGCCUUUGACACAGUCAACCAUCAGAUCUUACUCUCUAUCCUCUCCUCGCUGGGCAUCACAGGAACUGUGCUUGACUGGUUUAAUUCCUAUCUCUCAGCCCAACGACACCACAGUGACUGCUCGAAUUUCUGCCUGCCUGGUGGACAUCUCGGCCUGGAUGAAGGAGCACCACCUGCAACUCAACCCAGCCAAGACUGAACUCCUUGUCUUUCCAGCCAACCCUGAUGU